UACGUAGGGUGCUAGCGUUGUCCGGAAUCAUUGGGCGUAAAGCGCGCGUAGGCGGCCCGGUAAGUCCGCUGUAAAAGUCAAAGGCUCAACCUUUGAAUGUCAGUGGAUACUGCCGGGCUAGAGUCCGGAAGAGGCGAGUGGAACUCCUGGUGUAGCGGUGGAAUGCGCAGAUAUCAGGAAGAACACCGACGGCGAAGGCAGCUCGCUGGGACGGUACUGACGCUGAGGCGCGAAAGCGUGGGGAGCGAACAGG
rnacentral:rRNA from 1 species